rnacentral:lncRNA from 1 species
AGUGUUUCCCCGUCUGUCUUAGGGCUCAGGCUCCUUCCCGACCCGCCCGCAUCCAGGGUAGUUUGUUUUUAAUCCUUAAAUUAGCAAGCCCGGUUUACCUGAACAAACACGCUUAGCAGGGAACCAAUUUUAUUACCUUCCCGGGGCGAUCUCACUCGGUCCUUCCCGGGCUUGACAAAAGCAGAGGGCCGCGCGUGGCGCUGAAGCCCAGGCUACCCCACAGACCUGAAAGACUUUCUCGCCUCCCACUCGAGUGGACCAAGCACACGGUGCACGUGGAGUGUGCUGCUCUUCCUGCCCUGCGUGCUCUUGAAAUCCAUCCUCAGCGAAGGGCGAGGCUUUUGACCCCAUGGGAACUGGAAGUGCGCCUGACUUCUCCAAGUGGGUGAGGGAGGCAGCUCUGUGUGGGGAACCUGGGUUUGUGCUUCCUCUUGCGUUGUCUAUGUUGUAAAUGUACUGUCUGAUCAACACUUUUAUGAAAAAACUUUUCUUGUUUUCCCUGGUAUUUCAAGGUAUACAACUCAGACACGCAUGAGUCAACACUAGAGGCUGGGGCUUCUUCAGUGAGAAUCUCUGAUGAUUUCAGAGUAGACCCAGGGAGCACAGGGGCCGCUCCCAGACAACAGCUCCCCUUUUAGCAUCCCUGGAGCCUCACACAUAGAUACGGUGACACGUCACAUCUUUUAUUUGCUCACUUGUUCUCCCCACUAGUUUCUAAGUCCCUAGAAACUAGAGAUGGUGCCACAUGUAUGUCCCUAGCACCCCUGUGCUGUGAGUAUGGCAAAGAGCAUCUGCCUAAAAAACAGUCCACCAACAGAGAAAAGAAGGCAAGAAAGUGGAGGGAGCAGAGGCUGGAGGCAGGCAGCUGGGAAGCCCACCUCCUUCACUCCAGCUUCCUCUGCUAAUAGCUAGCUCAGUUGUAACAGCCUUUUUGGCACACUUAACACUUCUUGGGAUUAUCAGCAACAUCUCUCCUUAAAAGGGAGCCCCUGAAAAAAGGGGGACAAAGGGGCCUGUCUUCUUGCCAGCCACAUAGUACUUGGGAGUAAGGUGUUUGCUGGAUCUGUUAAAUAUAUUACACUGAUAAAAACACAGCCCUGCUUGGACAGAUGCCUUAACUAGAAAUCAAAGGAGUGAAAACAAGAAUAGUAUAAAUUAUUCAGGCGAACAAAUCAAUAAGCAUAAAAUAUGAGAGAGAAAGGAACUCUGAAAUAGAUAAUACAGCCUGAAUUAAUUGAUCAAAAUAUAUUUUGGAAACCUUAUAGAAUUUCCUUUUAAAAUAGUCAAAGCCGAUUUCAGUGGAAAGGCCAUCCCAGGAUUUAUUAUGCAUGUGAUAUAAAGCUACAUAUACUGGAGAAAAGUGGGCAGAAAAGUGUUUUUCAAUCAACACUGAAGCCCCUAGCCAGAGAAGGUCAUCCCAGGGCACUGCAUGUAGAGGUGGAUAGAGAGUUGUUAGUUUAAGCCCUGAGAUGGGAAGUCUGCUGAAUUAAAGGGGCUGCUACUUUGGAGCUCUCCAGAGCACACACAGGCACAGACACCAAUGCAGCAAAUAUCUUCUGAGACGCCCCCAUUGGCUGGGGUUGGGGCCCUGUCCUUCAAGUGUAGGUGGGAGAACAAUUGCAUUGGUCAGAGACCACAGAAGUUCCCCAGGACGCAGCUGGUCUCGCAGGAAGGCCCCAUGCGCAGAAAGCUGCGCACUUUAGAAUGUGUCCUUUUUUCUUCCAGUUAUACAUAUAUAUUCUUUUUCGUAUUCUUUCCCAUUAUGUUUUGUCACAGAAUAUUGUAUAUGGUUCCUUGUGCUAUGCAAUAGAACCUUAUUGUUUACCCAUCCUAUAUUUAAUAGUUGGCCUCUGCUAAUCCCAAACUCCCAAUCCAUUCUUCUCUCAUCCCCUCCCCCACAUCUUGGCAACCACAAGUCUGUUCUCUAUAUCCAUGAGUUUGUUUUUGUUUUGUAGAUAUGUUUAUUUGUGUCCUAUUUUAGAUUCCACACGUAAGUGAUAUCAUAUGGUUUGUUUUUUUGUUUUUUUGUUUUUUUUUUUGUCUUUCUCUUUCUGACUUACUUCGCUUAGUAUGAGAAUCUUUAGGUAGGUCCAUCCAUGUUGCUGCAAAUGGCAGAUUUCAUUCUUUUUAUUUUUUUUUUUUGUCUUUUUUAGGGCCACACCCAAGGCAUAUGGAGGUUCCCAGGCUAAUCAGAGCUGUAGCCGCCGGCCUACACCACAGCCACAGCAACGCAGGAUCCAAGCUGCAUCUGUGACCUACACCACAGUUCACGGCAACACCGUAUCCUUAACCUACUGAGUGAGGCCAGGGAUCGGACCCGCAAUCUCAUGGUUCCUAGUUGGAUUUGUUAAUCACCGAGCCACGACGGGAACUCUUCAUUCUUUUUAGUGGUUAUGUAAUAUUCAUAUUUUUAUAUAUCUCUAUCUGUAUAUAUCACAUCUUCUUUAUUCAUAGAAUGUCCACUUCGAAAGCACAUAGUAGAUAUUUCCAUUGAGUUUUCCAGCUUUUUAAACCCGUUCAAGUUCAUAAGCCCAUGUAAUACAAUUAUUUUAAAAAGCUAUAUGGUAAAUUAGUUUAUUGACAUUUUCAAACUUUUUCACCUUGGGCUAGGAAAAUAUGAAUUUGAUGUAAUAUUCAAAUAAGGGCUAAAAAGAAAGUGGAAUUCAAUAAGGGGUUGACUAGAGCUAUGGUUCAGGAAAACAUAAUUAUUCAAAUCUUGAGACAAAUAUUUCUAGGUAAUAAUGACUUCUGAAUGUAAAGUUUUUAAAUAGUUUCAAGUACAUUCUGAACAGUACUUUCUAUUGCAGCUUAAUUUUUGUAGAAACAAAAAAAGUGAUGAACUUUGCAAAUGUGUAGAAUGUUUAUAAAAUGCAGUAUCUUCUAUGCUUUUAUACCAGUAUCCUAAAAAACAUAGGCAGACAAAAGGACACAUUUUCUCAUUUUCAGUAGCUCCUCUUAAAGAAAUUGAACUGACAGGGUAAUUCCUCCAUAUUUGAGAGGCUAAAAUUGUGGUAAAAA